GAAAAGAUAAGCUAAAUAUAAGCUUACGGGCUCAUACCCCGUCUAUGGAGAUACCUUCUCUUUUCA
rnacentral:tRNA from 1 species